UAGACUUAAGCUGAAAACCUGCUCCCAAAACCUGCUUUGGUUGCGAGCAUAAGUCACCAUGUGUUACGGCUCAAGACUGGGUGGACCCAAACGCACGGCACAAAUGACCACAGAAAAAGCGGAAACAGUAGAACAGUUUAUUAGUCCACGGUUGAUCGAGGUUAGUGCAGAAGGUUGCGUCCGUUAGGGGUAAUCCUGAAACCACGGGCCAGGGGGUCCGAAACGGGGUUGGAUGGGUCGGCUUGCAGGUGAACCGACAGUCACGCAUGACGAUUCCAAGACGAUGAUGUCAGGUGCGGGUGAUCACGAGGCUGGGUCGGGGUCAGAGCAACUCAAUAUCAGGAGUACAGAGCUGCUCCCGCACUACAACUGAUUCACUCCGGCACCAGUCGUCCCGAAUGAGAAGGCUCACUCCUCCGCCGCGCGACUUGCCAGUGAUCCCUUGAUCGUGGUCCAUUCUGUAGGCAGUGAAGCCGUCCGGCUCCAACUCGGUUGACGGGAUGUUACUGUCCAGCCACGUCUCUGUGAUCGCCACACAGGCGCGAUAUUCAUGAAGAAGUCGAUGUUAACAGCAGAUGGACAAUUACUCUGCGGGCCUUCCCAUCUUCCUGCGGAAAGAGGCUGCUGGAUUUUUUAAGAACAGGAAUGCAGAAGAAAUUGACCUGCCAGACCUCUCGGAAGCAGCUGUAGCUAUUCUCACUGUCUCAAGUGACACAGACUCCCUUGCGAAGUUUGGUCCUGCUAUCCAUUCUAUAGUUUUUGAGGGAGAUUUGUGUGUGAUAGCGGAGUUGACAGAGGCAUUCAUUUUGCUGUUUGGCUUAAUUUAUGCGCUUCAUCUCGAUUAUCCAAAGCAAAUGUCCUACACAUUUAAUUUCAUUCAAAAAAAUAUACUGGGUUUGGAUGACCUGAAGCGGUUACCUCCUACUGCUUAGCCUUAAAAAUGAAUUGCUGAUGAUGAAUGAGUAAGAAGUCUGUUUUCCAAAUCUCAUGUUGGUACUGCCAGCAUGUUAAUACUCAAGCAAGCAGGGGGGGAAGAGUACCAUCUUUUAGUUAUUUUUAUGCUUUUAUUUAUGUUAUUUUUGUUGAGUAUUAUUACCUUUGUUGAAGAAAUGGUUUUUAUUUCUUUGGUUUUGAUAAACCCCAUUUCAAGGGAGGCUGUUCCGUUAGAAUUCAAAUGGAGUUCUUAAAUAAAUGGAAUCUGCAGUGAAA
ensembl:lncRNA